rnacentral:lncRNA from 1 species
UUAGGUGCUGAUUGUUGGAGGUUCUUUUGGUCUUCGUGAGUUUUCACAAAUCCGCUACGAUGCUGUGAAAAUUAAAGUAAGGACUGUAAUUGGUGUUCAGCAUGUGUCUGUGUAUAUGUAUGUUCUGGUUUACAUGUGUAUAUGCAGUGUUAAACAGUCUGAGUUUUGUCUUGCUUUUCAAGGUGGCCAUAUAAUCUUUGGACUUUUCCUUAUUCUGUAAGACAACAUGAGUGAUGAUCUGGAAAUGAAUCAUGAAAUGUAAAGAAUUUAGUAAUCUUCUUCAUCAUUGGAAAAUUUACAAUACUGUAUUCUCCAAUAAAAUGGACUCUGGUGUAGUUGUUUUUAGGAUUUAGGAGGGACUGAAGAAUGUGGGACAGUUUCACUCCCAUUUUAUUACUCCAUUUCAUAUUAAUACCAGUAAUUUUAUAAAUUAUAUGGAUAUAUGAACUGAUAUACUAACAGUAAAAGAAAAUUAUUUUCAUUAUAAAUAAUAAAUUAUAUAUGUGUGUGUGUGUAUGUGUGUGUGUAUAUAUAUAUAUAUAUAUACAUAUAUAUGAAAUUUACAGGUGAGGAAGCUGAGGUUCAGAGAACUUAAGUAACUUGCCUAAGGUUACAUGACUAUUUCGAGGUAGUGUUAGGAUUCUCACCUUCUGUGAUUACACGGUUACUUAAAAAUUCAAGCCAAGUGUUACAUAAGAACCCUGGUUAAUUCUUUCAGAAGUAUGUAGUUUUUGUUUGUGGCCAUUUGUGAUAUUUGAGUUUUUUCCAAGUUAUUUAUAUAUGAUAAAUAUAUAUAACAUAUUUAAUAUUCAUAUUAUAUAUAAAUAUAAAUAUAUAUGUGUGAUGAAAUAUAUAUAUGAUUUACUACCAAUAUUACUGAGGUCUGCUAAUGAAAUAUAUAUAAUAUAUAAUAUUAAUUAAUAAUUAUCGAUAGGAAAAUAAAGAGUAAAGGCCUAUUUAGUUUUCUCAGUUAAUUUUAUGAUUUAAGAGAAACGCCAAUUCCAACUAGUCUUAAAGAUAUUAGAUAUUAGAGUAAAUAUUAAAUUUAAAAAGAAUGUGUGAUUUCUGUGGGGUAAUAGAGCAAUUAUUAACUGUAUUAAAAAGUGUCUGUUAGCAUCCUGCUUAUUUUAUUAAGGAAUUUUUUUCCCUUUCCCUUUAAGAUGAAAGUUAUAAUAAUCUGACUUUUGGAAGUGGGAUGACUAUACAUAUUUGAAAAAUAAUUGAAUAUUUGUCAUAUGUAUUUAUUAUGUGGCAGAUCCUAUAGAUAAAGAUUCAAGAAAUUAGUUCUUACAAAGCUUGUGGCAUAAUUUAGGCUGGAAGACAUCCAGUAUAAAAAUGUAGUCAGGGGCGCCUGGGUGGCUCAGUCGGUAAAGCGGCUGACUUCGGCUCGGGUCACGAUCUCGCGGUCCGUGAGUUCGAGCCCCGCGUCGGGCUCUGUGCUGACAGCUCAGAGCCUGGAGCCUGUUUCGGAUUCUGUGUCUCCCUCUCUCUGACCCUCCCCCGUUCACGCUCUGUCUCUCUCUGUCUCAAAAAUAAAUAAACGUUAAAAAAAAAUUAAAAAAAAAUGUAGUCAAACAAAUUACAUCAUUGCCCAGUAAAAUGCUAUAUUAGAGUUUUGCAUAAAACAGUACUAGAGACAUACAAUUUAGACUUGGGAAAGGGGUAUCACAGAAGGUUUGCUAGAGGCAUUAACCUUUGAAUUACGACCCUACGAAUGAGUAAGUGUUGGGUCACCUGGGCAGCUCAGUCUGACUCUUGAUUUCAGCCCAGGUCAUGAUCUCACAGUUUCUCACAGAUCUCACAGAUCUCAGAGUUUGUGGGUUGGAGCCCCAUGUGGGGCUCCACAUGCUGACAGAAUAGAGCCUGUUUGGGAUUCUCUCUUUCCCUCUCUUUCUUCCCCUCCCUUGAGCACGUGUGCGUGCUCUCUCUCUCUCUCUCAAAAUAAACUUAAAAAAAAUUGGAUGAGUGUUAGCUAAAUGUUGAAAAUGAUAUUCUAUAACACAGGAGGAGUAUUGGGCAUAUCGUCAGAUGUUCAUUUUAGAAAUCCCUCUGGCCGUGGAUGGGACAAGAUGGAUGGGGAUUGAGCAAGGUGGAAGGGGAGAGAUGAGACCUGUUAGGGUGCUUUGGCAGUAGUACACAUGGACAGUAAUGAAACUUGAAAUAAAAUAUUUGCAAUGAAGUUAGAAAUAAAUGGGUUCCAGAAAAAAAAUUUUUUAGCAGCUAAUUGAUAGUAUUUGAUGACUAAUGUGAUGUAUAUAAUAUAAAAAAAUGAGUAAGUCUUGCACAGCUUGAGGUUUUGGUUUUGUGGACUGGAUAAAUGGUGAUGCCAUUCACCGAGUUAAGGAGAGAGAAUGAGGGAGAUUGCAUUAAUAGGAGAAGUUUAGAAGAUGGGCUUAAAGUAAAGAGAAGAAAGGUGAAAUAGAAUGAAGUUCAUUGCAAUUGAGAGGACAAGGUUGGUUGAUGAGAACAAGGUUGAGAGGAUGCGGUUGGUCAAGGUCUAUGGGAGGAGGCUGAGUGGACAGAGUUCAAGUGAGAAGGAUCAGAGGACAAGACCUGAGAUUGAGAAGUCCAGGUUGGUUGAUGUUCAGAAGUCAAACUCAGAUGAAGUCAAGAGUCAGUGUUUGGGUGAGAUUGAGUUCAGACAAGAUAAAGAGGAUAAAGUGGACUGAAUGUGAGAGUGAUUAACAGGAUGAUUCAUUGAGGUUAACUGGGGUUAUUAGGGUUGAGAGACCAAGAGCAAGGGGGAGUCAAAAGGACAGAAUUGCUGAGAUUAAGGGGGGGUCAAGUCUGAGGUUGAGAGUACAAAUGCCGUUGAGAAAGACUAGGAUAAGUUCAGCUGAGAAGUGUUGAGGAGGGUGGAGAAAGACAGUAUUGAUUUGGAGUGACUGGCCAUCUUAGUUUGCCUGGAAAUGUCCUGAUUUUAGUACUGAAAGUCUGGCAUCCCAGAACACAGAAACUCCUGCUUUUCAGUCAUUGGUGAGGAAAGUGGAAAGGAAAGUACAGAAUCCAAGAGGUGGGCUAAAAAAAUGAACUGAAAGCACUAGCUUUCAAUUCUAGUGUGAAAUACAUAGGGCAUAGUUUAUCUAUGCCAUUCUUUUGUUUUUUUUUUAAAGGUUAUUUAUUUAUUUUGAGAGAGAUCGAGCGCAAAUGGGGGAGGGGCAGAGAGAAAGGGGGAUAGAGGAUCUGAAGUGGGAUCUGAAAUGGGCUCUGUGCUGACACCAGAGAGCUCAACGUAGAGAACUGGAUGCAGAGAGCCAGACGCAGAGAACCCAGACUCACGAACUGUGCGAUUUUGACCUGAGCCACCCAGACACCCCUUAUCUACGCCAUUCUUAGUGGUGGUGGUUCUUUUUUGUUCUCCUGACUCUUAAUACUAACAACCAUGGAACUACAAUAAUGGACCAUCCAUUGUUGCAUCGCUCCAAGUAGUAUGACCUAAGUGUGCAUAUAAGUGCAUUAUAAUCCUGAGUAUUAAGUCUUUCUUUUUCCUUUGAAAUAGAGCUAGUUUAAUUCUUAACAUUGUUAAUGUUGUGAUCAUGUUUUCUAAGAUUUAGAUAAUGAGAAUGAGAACAAUUACAAUACCAAUGCCAGCAUGGUCCCAACAUCACUGAAAGAGAAAGCCAAAUGACUGUGUUAUUUUUUUUAAUGUUUAUUUAUUUUUGAGAGAGAGAGCAAAAGUUGGGGAGGGGCAGAGAGAGAAGGAGACACAGAAUCCGAAGCAGGCUCCAGGCUCUGAGCUGUCAGCACAAAGCCUGACAUAGGGCUUGAACUCCACUGAACGCGAGAUCAUGACCUGAGCUGAAGUCAGACACUCAGACUGAGCCACCCACGCGCCCCUAUUCUUAAUAUUCUAACACUUUACUAUUACUCAAUUAAGAAUAGCUGUUUUUGUUUUGUUGUGGUUAUUUUUUCUUGUGUUGUUUCAGGCUGAGGACUCAUGCUUUUCUAAAUAUUACUCAGUUAAUUACUGGUCAAUUAUUUAAUUAUAUCCCUUCCUCCAUUCUCUCUGUUCUCUAAUUCUGAAAUCCCUAACAGCCCCUAUUGGGGCUUUUAGAUGUAGCUUUCACCAUAGGCCUUUUCUUUCCUUCAUCCCAAUUCUUGUGCAUUAUUCUAAUGGUAUUUCUAGUGUAUUAAUGGUCUUUUUUUUUUUUAAUUAAGUUUAUUUAUUUUGAGAAAGAGAGAGCAUGAGUGGGGGAAAAGGCAGAGAGACAGAGAGGGAGACAGAGAAUCCCAAGCAGGCUCCACCUUCAGUGUGGAGCCUGACACAGGGCUUGAUCUCAUGACCUUGGGAUCAUGACCUGAGCUGAAGUCGGACACUCAAUCAACUGAGCCACCCAGGCACCCUAGUGUAUUAAUGGUCUUAAGCUGUGUUCAGUUACUAUUCUGCUAUUCCAUUUAUUUUAAUUUGGGUUCUGUUGUUUGUUUAUCAAUUUCAGUGAUCACAUUCUUCUUUCCUCAACACUUUGCCACGCAUAGGUAACAUGGCAUCAGCUCCUGUUUACUACUGUGGACUCCUGUUGAAUUUUUUCUUCGAUGCUUCUUUAUUUCAGGUGUAUUGAAGGUCUUAUUUUUUGUUUUCAAGAGCAGCACUAUAUUUAUUAGUAUUUUUAUGUUAUUUUGUUUGUAUUUUAUGUUAUUUAUCAUUUAGGGUGGUUGUUAACAGCAUGGACUCUGGAGGCAGAGGGCCAAGUUUCAAAGCCAGUUUCUUCCUCUUCAACAAGUGAUUCGAACUCCUUGUGUCCCAUUAUCUUCACUUGUGAUCAUCAUCAUAAUAAUUAUCUCAUAAGUUUCGGUGAGGAUUACUAGAGAUAAUGUAUGUCAGAAUGCCUGGCAUAUGAAGAGUGCUGGCGAAUACAGGCUGCUGAUAAUUAUAGUAGUGGUGGUAGUACGUUAGCUGUCAUGACGCGAUCGGGUGGGAGAGAUUUUGUCACGUGUUUGUCAUCUGCCACACCACCCCAGCCAUCCCUUAUAUAACUUUUUACAUUCACAGUUGAAUGUAAGAGACUUGAACAACUUACGGCUCCUCUUUCUUUUCUACAGAUUGAUCCUGAAUUAGAAAAAAAGCUGAAAAUGAAUAAAGUGUCAUUGGAAUCAGAGUAUGAGGUACAUACGUUAAUAUGUAUUGUAUGUUAAUACAGCCUCUCUUUUGUAACCGUCUUCCCGGUCAGUGACUGAUUCGCUCUCUCUUCAGGUUAACGGAAAUGAUUACCAGUGCAGAAGAAAAUUAUUUACCUUAAACAGUAUGGUAUCGGGGCAACUAACUAUGUAGUCAUUUGGAAAGAAAAUAAGGAUGGAUCUAUAUUUCAUAUACUAUAAAUGGAUGAAUUCUAGAUGGAAUAAGAAUUUAAAAAUAAAAAAGCAAUGCUAAAAAUACUAGGAGAAAAAAAAUGGAGAUUCUUUUCUGUGGUCUUGAGUCAGAAAAGCUGAUUUAAAUGUAAUACAAAAUUCCAAAGCUUUACAGGGAAAGAUUGAUGAGUUUAUAUAUAAAAAUUCAAAAGUUCAGCCUUAAAAAAUGUAUAUAAAGUCACUGGUUAAAUGAGACAUCCUAAAACUGUUGUUUAUCUUAUCAUGAUGAAUUAAUUUAAAUAUGAAGAGCGUCUGCAGAUCAAUAUGGAAAAGUUUAACAAUUUAGGUGGGCAGUAGGAACAUGGGCAAAACGUGUAAAGACUACAGAGAAAAGGAAAUAAAUAUCAUUCUUAGACAUAUAAAGAGGUACUAAACUUACAGGAAUGUUAGUUAAAGUUAUAAUGAGGUGUCGUUUUCCACCCAUCUGAUCAGAAACCAAAGUGUUUAAUAUAGGAUGUGGUGAGGAGGGUGUGCUCCAUUUCUUGGAGUCCGUUCGUUUUUGUAACUGUGGGUCAUAUUUUCCCAUAUUUCUAUGUAUGUUUGAUCAUUUUUGCUUGAAAGGUGAACAUUAUAAAUAAUACAUUGAAGAACGUUGACUCUCAUUUUAGCAGGCCCUUCAAUUAUUGGCUGAUCAUUUUGAGCUCGGUUUUGUCUUUUUGAGGGAGGAUCUGUGGAAAGACUUUGGCGUUCCCUAAACUGCUGUAACCCUAUGAGACUCAUUCUCCAAAUUGCCUCCCCAGAGGAUCUUGUCAGAGCUUGGCCUUAAGCUCUGUUGGACUGAGUCUAAUGCGGGUCUUCCUCUUGGCAUGAUCCUUAUUUCUAAAGACUAGCUUUUGGUGCCUCAGCUGUAUGCCAAAGGAGCAACUCGGUGUUAAAGAGAGGUCCCACACCAGCAGGGCUGAAAAUCAGUAUUGACACUGCUUUCUUCUUGGUUCCGUUCCGUACUCAGUUCUGUAGCAGUUGGUUAAGUGGUAAGCCGUAAGUGGUCUUGCCCACCACGUGUACGGUGUAGUCUUCAGUGACCGUACAUGUUUUGCAGAAUUCCACAGAGACUCUUUCAUUCACCAAAGAUCUUUGAAGACUUGGAACCCUCUCGCAUGAAGUUGUUCUACCAAUUUGCAUCCCAUCGAAGAAUUAUUCUUAGUUCUCUUGAGCAUAUAUCUUACGUUACCUGGGUAGAGGCCAUUAUUCUUUCUUCAGACCUUUUUGUAACUGAAUCAUUUCAUAACUAAACUUUAAAAUAAUUUACUCUCCUGCACCUUAAAUUAGUACAAUCUUGUUCAUCCACAUAUAUUUAAUACAGACAUCCUAUAAGUGGAAUUUAGAGAGUGGUUCAGUUCUCUGCUUCCCCACUAGUUUUUCAAAGCCUAUAACUUGCUCCUUCUCGGUCUAUAAGCACUGUGUCAGUAGUGAUGGCUCUGGAGGGUUUGUCUGGGGAUAAAUUUUCCUUUACUUAUUUUGGAGAUCAUAGAAUUUGAGAACUGAAGAAACCAUGUAGACCAUUUGGUCAAGCCUUUUUAUUAUUACUUAGGAGGGAAUAGUGCCCAGACAGCUUAAAUCACUUGCCCAAGGUUAUACAGCUUCUUUUUUUUUUUUUUUAAUAUAUAUAUAUAUUUUUAACAUUUAUUUAUGUUUGAGACAGAGACAGAGCAUGAACGGGAGAGGAGCAGAGAGAGAGGGAGACACAGAAUCGGAAGCAGGCUCCANGCCAUCAGCCCAGAGCCCGACGCGGGGCUCGAACUCACGGACCGUGAGAUCGUGACCUGAGCUGAAGUCGGACGCUUAACCGACUGAGCCACGCAGGCGCCCCGCUUCUUUUUUUUUUUAAUGUUUAUUUUUGACAGAGAGAGACAGAGAGAGACAGUGUGAGUGGGGGACGGGCAGAGAGAAGGAGGGAAACACAGAAUCCAAAGCAGACUCCAGGCUCUGAGCUGUCAGCACGGAGCCUGAUGCGGGGCUCGAAAUCGUGAACUGCAAGAUCGUGACCUGAGCCAAAGUCAGAUGCUUGACUGACUGAGCCACCCAGGUGCCCCAAGGUUAUACAGCUUCUUAGUAAAAGAGAAAUGCUCCUUUUUAUUUUUGUUACAAGGGUCCAUGUAAAUUUACGUCAUUUUCCUUAUCUUUGGAUAUAAGCUAUUCUGUGUUCUGUGAGUCUCUUUUUCUAUAUUAUUUCAGCAGUAAUUCGAGAACAGAUAAAGCAGUUGUAGAAAACUUGUUGUCAGAGUGGUGUUGAAGGGUGAAGAAACCUUUAUAUUCUUCCCUUUAUCCUACCUCUGUGCUGAGAGAUACUUCACACUCACUGAAGGUACAGUGAUCCAGACUGGUUGAAACUAGGUUUUACUGACUGAAAGGGAUUGGCUCAUGGCAGCUCUGGGGAAUGUCUUUUCAUUCUCUGGCUCAGGCUCAUUUCUCAUGUGCAGGACAAAUCAUCUUGGCCUCUUUUCUUCCUUCUAGCAGGCAUUAGGGUCUCUACCUUUGUUUUUCCCCUCUUACUUACUACCAUUACCCAUCUAACCCAUGCUAGUCAUUAUUAUGUUCGUUUAACCUUCGGAGUUGGAUUUUUGUUUUCCCAGCUUCUUCCCUUUCUUUGUAUUCUCAGAAAUAAAGCAUGUAGACCCUCUAUAAUUUGAUAAUUUUAUUCUGAUGGGGGGGGGAAGAUAGUCUAAUUAACAUGACUAGCAAGCAAGAAAACUUCCAAACCCUAAGAGAUAUGCCAUUUCUUCAAUUAUUAUGCGUGAUAUGCAGUUGAUUUAUUUGCUAAAAUUGGAUUUUUUCCACUCAUUUAUUCAUUGAUGAAUCAGUAAUGUCCUAAUCAAAGCUACAUGCCUCCUACACUAAUAUAUAUGCUUUAAUUUUUGUGGCUGUAUAGAAAAUAAAGGAUUCCACUUUUGAUGACUGGAAGAAUAUUCGAGGACCCAGGCCUUGGGAAGAUCCUGACCUCCUCCAAGGACGAAAUCCAGAAAUCCU